rnacentral:rRNA from 1 species
GACAGAGGGUGCAAACGUUGCUCGGAAUUACUGGGCGUAAAGCGUGUGUAGGCGGAUCGGAAAGUCGGGCGUGAAAUCCCCAGGCUCAACCUGGGAACUGCACCCGAAACUCCCGGUCUUGAGUGGUGGAGAGGGAAGUGGAAUUCCUGGUGUAGAGGUGAAAUUCGUAGAUAUCAGGAGGAACACCAGUGGCGAAGGCGGCUUCCUGGACACCAACUGACGCUGAGACGCGAAAGCGUGGGGAGCAAACAGG